rnacentral:lncRNA from 1 species
GCGCGGAAGGGUUGUAGGACAGGAAAACGAUAUGGCACUGGACUUAUGGGACGAACAUAAGAACACUCGAAACUAAGGGUAGAUGUGAACCUAACGGUAUACCUGAAGCUUUGAUUACCACUUCAUGAGAAAAAGGGUGGACCGAUCUUUCGAAAGGUUCUGGUAACUCGAUUUGGUAGAGACGAGACAAAAACCGAUCCGGCUUCCGAACAACACGAUCCGAAACCCUACAAUUUUUUUUAUUAUUUUUUAUAAUUUCAUUUUACAUAGCAGCACUAAAGAAUUAACCACAGAAAAUUUAAGCUUAAAUAAGUGAAAGACGUGGCCUGCGGAAUUUUCUGAAGAUUGUGAAAAAUGUGAAAAAAAACUUCAUGAGGUAAAAAAUCAAACUUAGGAGGCAAAUUUGGAGAUAUUAAAAUUUUCAAACCCACCAAAGGCGUGGAUAUAUAGAUCCAAAAAUUUUUUCUAAUCGAUUUUGAUAUACGGACCGUUGAAACCAGAGUUCGUACGUGAAUGUUAUGGCUGUUUUAUGAACAGACUCCAAAUUAGAGGAAAAAACGGUCCGAAAGUGGGAAAAAUUUACGAUGGUGGCUAGAAAUUGAUAGAAAUGGUGGCGAAAAACACACGAACUAGACUCUAACAAGACCUCGACCAGGACACAAACUCAACACUGCAGACUCUAAAACUGAAAUGUGCAAAGGCUAUGGCGCAGAAGGGUUGUAGGGCACGAAAACGGUAUGGCACUGGACUUAAUGGACGAACACAACAAUACUCAAAACUAAGAGAAGAUGUGAACCUAAUAUUAUACCUGAAGCUUUGAUUACCAUUUGAUGAGAACAAGGGUGGACCGAUCUUUCGAAAGGUUCUGGUAACUCGAUUUGGUAGAGACGAGACAAAAUCGAUCCGGCCUCCGAACAACACGAUCCGAAACUCUACAAUUUUUUUUAUAAUUUUCUUUUACUUAGGAGCACUAAAGAAGUAACCAUAGAAAAUUUGAGCUUAAACAAGUGAAAGACGUGGCCUGCGGAAUUUUCUGAAGUUUGAGAAAAAUGUGAAAAAAACUUCACGAGGUGAAAACUCAAUCUUUGGAGGCGAAUUUGGAGAUUUUAAAAUUUUCAAACCCGCCAAGCGCAGAUCCGAAAUUUUUUUCUGAUCGAUUUUGAUAUAUGGAACGUUGAAAUCGGAGUUCGUAUGCGAAAGUUAUGGCUUUUUUAUGAACGGACUCCGAAUUAGAGAACAAAACAGUGCGAAAGUGGGGAAAAUUUGGGCGGUGGCUAGAAAUUGAUGGAAACAGUGAGGAAAUACACACGAAGUUGACUCCACAAACAACACUGCGGACUCUGAAACUGUAAUAUCCAAAGGCUAUGGUGCAGAAGGGUUGUAGGACAGGAAAACGAUAUGGUACUAGAUAUAUGGGACGAAGACAAGAAUACUCGAAACUCAGGGUAGAUGUGAACCUAACGGUAUACCUGAAUCUCUGAUUACCACUUGAUGAGAACAAGGGUGGCCCGAUCUUCCAAAAGGUUCUGGUAACUCGAUUUGGUGGAGACGAGACACAAACCGAUCUGGCUUCCGAACAACACGAGCCAAAACCCUGCAAGUUUUCUUAUUUUUUAAAUAUUUUUUUUUACUUAGGAGCACUAAAGAAGUAACCAUAGAAAAUUUCAAUUUAAAGAAGUGGAAGACGUGGCCUGCGGAAUUUUCUGAAGAUUGUGAAAAAUGUGAAAAAAAAAUUCAUGAGGUGAAAACUCAAAAUUCGGAAGCGAAUUUGGAGAUUCUAAAAUUUUCAAACCCACCAAAGGCGUGGAUAUAUAGAUCCAAAAAAAUUUUCUAAUUGAUUUUGAUAUACGAAACAUUGAAACCGGAGUUCGUAUGUAAAAGUUAUGGCUGCUUUACGAACGGACUCCACAUUAUAGAACAAAACGAUCCGAAAGUGGAAAAAAUUUGCGGUGGUGGCUAGAAAUUGAUGGAAAUGUUGGCGAAAAACACACGAACUGGACUCUAACAGGACCUAACCAGCAACAAGGCCUCAGCCAAGACACAAACUCAAUACUGUGGACUCUGAAACUGAAAUAUUUAAAGGCUAUGGCGCGGAAGGGUUGUAGGACAGGAAAACGAUAUGGCACUGGACUUAUGGGACGAACAUAAGAACACUCGAAACUAAGGGUAGAUGUGAACCUAACGGUAUACCUGAAGCUUUGAUUACCACUUCAUGAGAAAAAGGGUGGACCGAUCUUUCGAAAGGUUUUGGUAACUCGAUUUGGUAGAGACGAGACAAAAACCGAUCCGGCUUCCGAACAACACGAUCCGAAACCCUACAAUUUUUUUUAUUUUUUUUAUAAUUUAAUUUUACUUAGGAGCACUAAAGAAGUAACCACAGAAAAUUUAAGCUUAAACAAGUGAAAGACGUGGCCUGCGGAAUUUUCUGAAGAUUGUGAAAAAUGUGAAAAAAAACUUCAUGAGGUGAAAAAUCAAACUUAGGAGGCAAAUUUGGAGAUUUUAAAAUUUUCAAACCCACCAAAGGCGU